GACGAACCGUGCGAACGUUAUUCGGAAUCACUGGGCUUAAAGCGCGUGUAGGCGGAUGGGAACGUCGGUAGUUGAAAGCCCCCGGCUCAACCGGGGAAGUGGUGCCGAAACGACCCGUCUGGAGGGACGUAGGGGGACCUGGAACUUCCGGUGGAGCGGUGAAAUGCGUUGAGAUCGGAAGGAACGCCCGUGGCGAAAGCGGCUCACUGGACCACAACUGACGCUGAGGCGCGAAAGCUAGGGGAGCAAACAGG
rnacentral:rRNA from 1 species